AUGACAACAGAACCCACAACAACCAUGACUUGUAUCACCAUCUUCAUCUGGAUUGUUGCCCUCUGUCUCCAAGAGUCCAGAGGCCAGGUCACUGUGACUCAGACCCCUGUAGUGAAAGCUGUUUCAGUUGGUCACUCAGUCAGUCUCAGCUGUAAGACCAGCAGUGCUGUAUACAGUGACGGCAAUGGACACUAUCUGCACUGGUAUCAACAGAAACCUGGAGGAGCUCCUAAACUCCUAAUAUACUGGUCUAAAACCCUUCAGUCUGGGACGCCAUCUAGAUUCAGUGGUAGUGGAACUCAUAGUGACUUCACCCUGACCAUCAGUGGAGUCCUGGCUGAAGAUGCAGGAGAUUACUACUGUCAGAGUUGGCACUACAUCAAUAGUAAAUAUGUAUUCACACAGUGA